CCUACGGGGGGCAGCAGUGGGGAAUAUUGGACAAUGGGGGCAACCCUGAUCCAGCCAUGCCGCGUGUGUGAAGAAGGCCCUCGGGUUGUAAAGCACUUUCAGUGAGGAAGAACGCCUGGUGGUUAAUACCCAUCAGGAAAGACAUCACUCACAGAAGAAGCACCGGCUAACUCCGUGCCAGCAGCCGCGGUAAUACGGAGGGUGCGAGCGUUAAUCGGAAUUACUGGGCGUAAAGCGCGCGUAGGUGGCUUGAUAAGCCGGUUGUGAAAGCCCCGGGCUCAACCUGGGAACGGCAUCCGGAACUGUCAAGCUAGAGUGCAGGUGAGGAAGGUAGAAUUCCCGGUGUAGCGGUGAAAUGCGUAGAGAUCGGGAGGAAUACCAGUGGCGAAGGCGGCCUUCUGGACUGACACUGACACUGAGGUGCGAAAGCGUGGGUAGCAAACAGGAUUAGAUACCCGUGUAGUC
rnacentral:rRNA from 1 species